rnacentral:rRNA from 1 species
AUUGAACGCUGGCGGCAGGCCUAACACAUGCAAGUCGAGCGGAUGAAGGGAGCUUGCUCCUGGAUUCAGCGGCGGACGGGUGAGUAAUGCCUAGGAAUCUGCCUGGUAGUGGGGGAUAACGUCCGGAAACGGGCGCUAAUACCGCAUACGUCCUGAGGGAGAAAGUGGGGGAUCUUCGGACCUCACGCUAUCAGAUGAGCCUAGGUCGGAUUAGCUAGUUGGUGGGGUAAAGGCCUACCAAGGCGACGAUCCGUAACUGGUCUGAGAGGAUGAUCAGUCACACUGGAACUGAGGCACGGUCCAGACUCCUACGGGAGGCAGCAGUGGGGAAUAUUGGACAAUGGGCGAAAGCCUGAUCCAGCCAUGCCGCGUGUGUGAAGAAGGUCUUCGGAUUGUAAAGCACUUUAAGUUGGGAGGAAGGGCAGUAAGUUAAUACCUUGCUGUUUUGACGUUACCGACAGAAUAAGCACCGGCUAACUUCGUG